rnacentral:rRNA from 1 species
GACGAACGCUGGCGGCGUGCUUAACACAUGCAAGUCGAACGGAAAGGCCCUUCGGGGUACUCGAGUGGCGAACGGGUGAGUAACACGUGGGUGAUCUGCCCUGCACUUUGGGAUAAGCCUGGGAAACUGGGUCUAAUACCGAAUAGGACCACGCGCUUCAUGGUGUGUGGUGGAAAGCUUUUGCGGUGUGGGAUGGGCCCGCGGCCUAUCAGCUUGUUGGUGGGGUAAUGGCCUACCAAGGCGACGACGGGUAGCCGGCCUGAGAGGGUGACCGGCCACAGUGGGACAGAGACACGGCCCAGUCUCCUGGGGGGGGAAGCAGGGGGAAAUAUUGCACAAGGGGCGCAAGCCUGAUGCAGCGACGCCGCGUGGGGGAGGACGCCCUUCGGGUUGUAACCCUUUUUCAAGGGGGACGAAGCGAAAGGGAGGGUACCUAAAAAAGAAGCCCGGCCAAACUACGUC